rnacentral:rRNA from 1 species
UACGGAGGUGGCAAGCGUUGCUCGGAAUCACUGGGCGUAAAGGGCGCGUAGGCGGAUAGUUUAGUCAGAGGUGAAAGCCCAGGGCUCAACCUUGGAAUUGCCUUUGAUACUGGCUGUCUUGAGUUCGGGAGAGGUGAGUGGAAUUCCCAGUGUAGCGGUGAAAUGCGUAGAUAUUGGGAGGAACACCAGUGGCGAAGGCGGCUCACUGGACCGGUACUGACGCUGAGGCGCGAAAGCCUGGGGAGCAAACAGG